CCUGAAGUCAGGUGCUGUCAGGUUGUACCUGCAUAAAGCUGGUCAAAGACUCAAUGAUCCUCACCACAGUGGCAGGAAGAAGAGUGAAUCAAGAGGUAUCCAAGAGCAGCAUGAAAACACACUAAUACAUGGACUAUGUGCAGAUCGGCAAACAUACCCAGCCCUGUUGUCCUGAAGCUUCCACUCCAGGUGAUUGUGUAUCUUGGGAGAUACCUGUGACCAAACUGGCAGGUAGGUUGUGGAGCAGCAGAGACUUCAGCCUUGUUGCUUACAGCUG
rnacentral:lncRNA from 1 species